rnacentral:rRNA from 1 species
UACGAAGGGUGCAAACGUUGCUCGGAAUUAUUGGGCGUAAAGCGCACGUAGGCGGCAUUGCAAGUCGGAUGUGAAAUCCCUCGGCUUAACCAAGGAAGUGCAUCCGAAACUGCAGUGCUUGAGUACUUAAGAGGAUCGCGGAAUUCCCGGUGUAGAGGUGAAAUUCGUAGAUAUCUGGAGGAACACCGGUGGCGAAGGCGGCAUCCUGGACCGGUAUUGACGCUGAGGCGCGAAAGCCAGGGGAGCAAACGGG